GGAGAAGAAAAAUUAAAUUUCAAACCCUAAUCCCUAAUUCUCUACCGUUUCUAUCGCUUCUCCAACUCAGCUGACAGCUACUCUUGUGAAUACGACAACCAACGAGUUCCGACCACAAAGCUGCUGUCGACGAAGCUGCUGCCCGGUUUCAGCCUCCGCCCCUGCCUACGACGAAGUUGCAGACUCUGAACUUAGCCUCCCCUGUAAACCAAGGAAAUCUGUAAGGACGAAGUGCUUCUCAGUAUAUGGGGAUUCCUAUGGUGACAGGUUUAAUAAUGUUACUCUAAAGUGAUUAAGUGAUAGGGCUUCUAUUUCAAGUUUUACAUUGAAAUUACUUCUUCUUUCAGUGUUAUUCAACUGCUUUGGCUUUUUAUGACCGUCUAGGUGUUUUUGCAUGUUACAUUCUAACGAAGCAGAGAUGAUAGGAAGAAUGAGGUUAGUUGCUGAUAGGCCUCACUUUCUGGAGUUUAAUUGAUGUAAAAUUCAAUUCAAAGCAAAGUUAGAGGAUGAUGAUGAAGCUGAAAAAAUUGGUUGCUGCACUUUGAAAGUAGAGAAUGUGGAGCCAGUGGCUCCAGAUACCCUGAAGUUUGAUUUUCUUGCUAAAGAUUCUAUCAAAUAUCAGAACGAUGUUCGGGUCUUGGAGCCUGUUUUCAAAGCAAUUCAACAGUUUCGAAAAGUACAUGCCAUUCAAUUAGCACACUCAAAACUCAAAAGUUUUCAUAUUUACAUCCAAGUUGAACCGCCUGAUUUGCAGUCUACUGCAGAAAGAAGGUGCAGAAUCUGAAUUAUUUUGGGAUAUAUUGGGUGGAAAAUCUGAAUACUCUAGCCAGAAAACUGGAAGGGAAUGCUGAAAGUGAUCAUCAUCUGUUCUUGUGCACCUUCUCAAAGGAUAAGAGUUUAUUUAAAGUGAUCCUCAUAUGAUCUUAGUGAAGUGAAGUGAAGAAGAUUGAUGUCUCUUGAAUACGUGAGAGGCUUGAUCAAGACAACAUUGUGACCUUAGUUGUUAGAAUGAAUGCUACCAAGUUAAAACCUUUAUGAUCUUGUUAUCUUGAUUUUUCUUUGGUGAGGACUAUUAUAUGUUGUUUAGACUUGAAUUGACUAUUUUUAGUUACUAAAUGUGGAUUGAUGAUGUAUUAUUACUUGAACUUAAUGUAAAUUGAUAAUGUUUAGAGUUAUGUUAUUUUUUAGAAUUAAUUGUGUUUUAGUAUGUUAUUGUAGU